rnacentral:rRNA from 1 species
UAGCGGCGAGUGAAGCGGCAAUUACGCUCAAAUUUGAAAUCUGGCACUUUCAGUGUCCGAAGUUGUAAUUUGAAGAAGGUAUCUUUGGGUCUAGCUCUUGUCUAUGUUUCUUGGAACAGAACGUCACAGAGGGUGAGAAUCCCGUGCGAUGAGAUGUCUAGAUCUAUGUAAAGUUCCUUCGAAGAGUCGAGUUGUUUGGGAAUGCAGCUCUAAGUGGGUGGUAAAUUCCAUCUAAAGCUAAAUAUUGGCGAGAGACCGAUAGCGAACAAGUACAGUGAUGGAAAGAUGAAAAGAACUUUGAAAAGAGAGUGAAAAAGUACGUGAAAUUGUUGAAAGGGAAGGGCUUGAGAUCAGACUUGGUAUUUUGUAUGUUACUCUCUCGGGGGUGGCCUCUACAGUUUACCGGGCCAGCAUCAGUUUGAGCGGUAGGAGAAUUGCGUAGGAAUGUGGCUCGGCCUCGGUCGAGUGUUAUAGCCUUCGUCGAUACUGCCAGCUUAGACUGAGGACUGCGGCUUCGGCCUAGGAUGUUGGCAUAAUGAUCUUAAGUCGCCCGUCUU